CAGUUCUACCAUAGAUACUACAUACACACAUGGAUAUGAAACAGGAAGUCGGUAUCCAAUUAACUCUUUGAAGUUCACCUGUAAACGUCAUAACCAGCAUAGCUCUAUCCUUGGCGCUUUUCUCUCUGUCUAUGUUUUCAAGAAUUUUCUUGACUCACUUAUUUUUGUGAAAGAAGGCCUCAUGUUUACAUGACAAAAUUAGAAGACCUCCAUUUUUAUUUGUAACCACCUUUUCUAGACUCUCGAACGGAGUUAGCUAGUAAGUCUUGGAAUCAUAAUAGUGUAUUGUUUGUUACAUGGACUGAAACUAUUCUCGUGUCAAUGUAAUGAGAAAUGACUGAGAUAAUAGCCAAAAA